rnacentral:rRNA from 1 species
AGCCUGAUGCAGCGACGCCGCGUGAGGGAUGAAGGCCUUCGGGUUGUAAACCUCUUUCAGUAGGGAAGAAGCGAAAGUGACGGUACCUGCAGAAGAAGCGCCGGCUAACUACGUGCCAGCAGCCGCGGUAAUACGUAGGGCGCAAGCGUUAUCCGGAAUUAUUGGGCGUAAAGAGCUCGUAGGCGGUUUGUCGCGUCUGCCGUGAAAGUCCGGGGCUUAACCCCGGAUCUGCGGUGGGUACGGGCAGACUUGAGUGAUGUAGGGGAGACUGGAAUUCCUGGUGUAGCGGUGAAAUGCGCAGAUAUCAGGAGGAACACCGAUGGCGAAGGCAGGUCUCUGGGCAUUAACUGACGCUGAGGAGCGAAAGCAUGGGGAGCGAACAGGAUUAGAUACCCUGGUAGUCCAUGCCGUAAACGUUGGGCACUAGGUGUGGGGGACAUUCCACGUUUUCCGCGCCGUAGCUAACGCAUUAAGUGCCCCGCCUGGGGA